rnacentral:misc_RNA from 1 species
UCGUGCAACCGAGGUGCAAGGGCUGUCGCUGACCUUUAAGGGUUGUGCACGCUCAAGCACUCUCACACAUCCAUCUCACCCCUUUGUGCAUCACCGCGUGGGCCUUCCUUUGCAGGAGGGCUUGCGUUUAUCACACAAUACUCAAUACAGUGUAGAAUGUUUCUUUUGCGAUCACACGCAAUCAAUA